GCGGCCCCCGGGCUCCCUGGCUCCGGGGGCGCGGCAGCUCCUCGGAGCGUGUCGGCAGAAAAGCUUUUUAAAAAAAAAAAAAAUACCCGAAACCCGAAAGCUCGCCGAGCCUCGAGGAGGCGCAAAUAGCGCGGGUGCAUGGCUUGCGUCUCAGUUCUGUUAUUUUUUUGUCUCUUCGUGACGCAGUGGUAUCCAUCCCCCCCACACACACGUGCUUUUGGGAGAUGAUCCCCCCCCCAGUGCGAGAGGUAUUUAGAGCCUUAGGUCUAUUUUUCCCGUCAGCGAGUGGCGAUCUCUUACAGGUUUUCCAGUUCCAAAUCGCCUCGAGCAGAUAGGGUAUUAAUUCGGGGGCUUGCCAUGGGAAUUAGUCUGGGAAAGGGCCUGAACACAUUUGGAAGAGCCGCUAAAAAAAAAAAAAAAAAAAAAAAAAAAAAAAAAAAAAAAAAAAAAAAAAGGAUGCGCUUGCUUUGCUAGCGGCCGGAGGUUUGUCUCUUCGGCGCCGAGGCAGAGCUCCGUGGAUCCGAUGGGAUCUGGAUCGGAUGCUGCUGGAUCUGCACUGGCACAGAUCCUUAGCGAGCCUUCCCAAGGCUGCUCGGUGGCCCCUGCGCCGCCGUCAAGGCUUGAAACAUUUCGGAGCCGUGCGUCUCAAGCUUUUUCUAUUUUGGACUACGAGUCCGUGUGUUAUUUGAGACGAGUUGACAGUGAGAGCCUUCUUUGCAUUGCAGGCUUUCUUGGCUAGAAGACUAGCUUUAGCUGAAUGCAGAAUUAACUUCCUAGACUUUUUUUGUUUAAACUACUAAACUAACGGUAUAUACAGCGUUGUAUCUUGCAGUGCUGUUUCCUCACAGUUUGAAAAUUGGUGUACGGCUGUGCUCAGAAGUCUGUUUUAAGUGGAGUCUUUCUGCUGGGUUUAGGGAAAUAGGUAUAUGGAUCACUUUCCAAGAAAGUGAGGAAUAUUUUGUUUCCAGAACUUUUUUUUUUUUGUUCCACCUUUCACUCCUUAUGUGGAGUUCUAUGAGGAAAUGUGUGUUCUUUCCAGAUUUACCCGUUUCACACCAUUAUUAAGCUGCUCAGUGUAAUAGUGAUAUGUGAGGGUUUGUGGUUUUUUGGGGGGUGGUUGGUGGUGAUUGUUUGAGUAUUUUUUUUGACACGGACUAUGUAAUUAUUCCAAUAGAAAUAACUGGCUGGUGUAUUACAAAAAAAUGUGUUUGUGACAUCUGAGAUUAGAUGUCAAGUUUUAAUUUCUAACCAUAACUGCAAAUUACUCCUACCUUCCAGGUCCUCUUUAGAUGGAGCUAAAUGAUGAUCUGUGGUCUGAUUCAAAGUUAGUAUGAAAUGGAAAUUGGCAAUUACUGUCAUGUGUUUGGACUUGGGUAAACUAUAAAUAAAACACAUAUAUGUGUGCUCGUAGUACAUGCGAAACCACAUGGGCUUUCUGUCCUGCUCCCCCAAAUUUCUGACUUCUGGCCCAUGAUGGGAUGACCAGGUGUUGGAUACUCGGCUUACAUCUUUGUAAGCGGAACAUUUCUCGAAUUUCUAAGGUUGGCAAAUACCUUUUCAGUGUGUUACUGUUGCAGCACUCUGGAAAGCUCUUUGACACCAUUAAGAUCCAUCAGUGAAGAUUAUAACAUAUUCUCGAACUAUAAUUUCUAAAACUGUAAUUUCUUUAUUAAGAAGAAAUUAAUGGCAAGGAAUUUUCUUUGUAGUCUAUGGCAUAGAGGAGUGGUAGACAGCCUAAUUACAGGAUUAUUAUCAAAACAGUUUUACAGUGAACAUCAGUUAAGUCAAAUUAUUAAUUUCUAAAAUGUCGGUAAUUUGUUUUGCAGUGUGGAUGGAUGUACAUAUGAAGAUAAUUCUUUUUUUAAAGUCACAUCCUGUCUGCUUGGGCCUUUCCUCCCAUAAAAUAAAUACUGGGGAUGGAAUAUGGAAUUUUGGUUGCAUUUGAUAUUAAGUAUUAAUUUUUUAAAAAGGUCAUGGUAUAAACUUCAGAAUUUUAAGUUGAAGUUCAAUGGAGUAACUCAAGUGUUCUGUCGCAGGAUGUUUAAUGUCCAAAGCAAUUAAAGUGUUAGCAGCUACUUAGGCUUAUAUGAAGAAGGGAAGCCAUUAUUUUUGCUUCCAAUUUAGCAAAGCACUUUCCAAGAUAAAGCUGUUAAAACAAAAGCUUUUAAUAAGGGUGUGUUGUGUGUGCUAAUAGCACUGGAUACCUACAUUCCUGACAAUCUCAGGAGUGUGAAAUACAUCCUCUCUCUGAUUAUGUACUUGGUUUGUGAACCCAGAGCCCUGAUAACUUGUAUGUUCUUAAGAUGUUCUUAAAGCUGUUGUGCUUUUUUUUUACUGUUUCCAGGGGUCUUAUUGUCUCCAUUCUCAAAGUGACUUCUGCUGACUAGCAGAUCUCUACUGUUGAAUAGUGCUAUGCUUUUGGGAAGGUAUCUUACUGACUUUUGGUAACUUGAUUAAUUAACCUUGCUAUUGCGGAUUUUGUACCAAUUUAUCAGGUAUGGCAUGUCUGUGCAAGGCAGCUGGUACAAACAUCCUAGUACUCUUGCAUAUUUGCACUGUGUAAAUACCUAUUGUUGUGCCUCUGCUCUUGACCCAGUGCAUCAAGAGUGGGAGAUAUUUUGUGUAAAGAAAGAUCCAAAACUAUUUACCAGCAGUAUGGUUCACUGCUUUGAAUGCAGCUAUUUUAUCCGGCAGUUAGAGUUUGUGCUAUUCUGUUUGCUUUUAAUAGGUGGGUAAAUGUGAGGCAGUGUUGGAGCACUGUUGAUGCCAGUGCCAAUUAUAGAACAGAUUUUUUUUUUCCUUUAGCUUUGUUUAGAAGCUUCAUCUGUCUUAACACUUCUACUGAUUCUGUUCUCACAGAAAAGCAGUGUUGCAAGAAGAGUGGCUGUUUGAGGAAGACACACUUGUGUGCUGGAGGGGUCCCAUUUCACAAGAGUUCAUCCUGCAGUCCUGAUGGGAUAGGUGUUAGUGUGGUCAUUCCAGCAGUGGCUUUUCUCUUAGGAAAGGGAUUGUUCUUAAAACUGGCUGUGGAAACACAGCUGAGUGAUGCUGCAGUACUCUGAGGUGGAUGAAUUGCAUAACACUGGUCUUGGUUCCUAUUAAACUCCAGUCCCUCGCAGCUGUGGUGAAUGGAUGUGGUGUGAACCAAGCCCUCUGCUGGCAGCUCUGGUCUGCUGUUUGUUAAAUACUCACCCGGAGCACUGACAGGAAAGCCAACACUCCCUCAGCUGCAAAAUCUUGCACUGCAUUGUGGUGAUUUAGUUCCCUGAUCCACGACUUAAGGGAUCUCCACAGUCUUUUCACUGCACACAGGUAUCAAGAAAAACGUUUUGAAUGUGCACUCCUUAUAUACAUAUAUUCAUUUACUUGAAAACUUUAUAUACGUGUGCUACUGUACAAAUAAUGUGUAUAAUACAAAGUAAAAAUUCAAGAGCAAUACAAAGAUGAAAUUAAUAUUUCCUUUUUUUUCCUCUAUUAACUUUACAAAAAAAAAAAAAAAUCGUCACACUUCCAGUAGGCUGUUCCAGAACUGGUUAAAAGAGGAGGGUGCUGCAUAUGUAAUCUUCAGAUUAACUUUUUUCCCUUUUGGUACUGCACUUGGUUAGACCUCAAAUGAUUUUCAUUCUUGAGUGAUGUUCUUGAAGGGGAGGAGCUUGGCAAGAUCAGUGCCUUGGAGUAAUUUAAACCAGUGUGCUACAUCUUCUGUUCAAUUCUUCAGUUUUUUUCCUAAAACUCAUAUUAGGAAAUACAAUAUUCAUUCAUGAGCAACCACAAACCCAUUUUCCCCACUUCUUGGUACAGGUAAAGCAGUCACACUGGUCAUUGGUCACUGCUAAGAAUUUUUUUAAAAUAAGUGACUUCAAAUUAUUUGUCUUUCAGAGUUUUAGAAGCUAUCUGUUUUUUGCAUGAACGGUCUUUGAUUUAUUUCCGCACUUCACCAUACUGAUUAUACCUGACAAAGUUACUGAAAUUUCAUUUAUGCAUAAAAAGUAACUUUGGUUGUAUUAUCUGUGCCUUGCACUAAUUUAAGCAUAAGGUGAUAAAAAGAGUAAAGAAAUUUAGAAAAAUUAAAGUUCCAGUUUAAUAAGAAGGCUUAUCUCUUGUAUCCUCAUUUUUACUUCUACUUCAGAUGAUUCAGUUGUUUGGGUUUUGUAAAUUCAAAGAAAAUAGCUCUGUCUGUUUCAGCUGAGAAGGAGUUGUGAUGCUAGAUUAGUGUUUUAACUUCAUCUGUUAGUCUAGGUGGCAGAGACUCCUAAGAUUAUUCUGAGUAAUACUGCUGUAGAACUGCAAGCAGUUCGGCAGCUUUGGCUGAAGUGUGGUGCUGUGCCAGUGCAGGUGAGUGCUUUCCUGUGUGAACAUACCAGCCCUGCUCAGUGCUGGCUCGGGCUGUGCUGUAGCUGCAUUCACCACUUCAGAAUAUGACAUUAAAAAUUCAGGUGGUACUUAAAUGAUUUUUUAGGAUUACUUCAAUGGGCUUUUUAGUCUGUUGAGAACCAACAGGUAAAAUGUAACUUUUCAGGAACCUUACUAUAUUAGAGCUAGACUUUUUAUAGAAAUGGGAUGUUUUAUUUGGGUUUUGCUGUUGCUGUACAGGGUCAUUUGUUCCUGUCUCCUACUUCUUGAGUAGAAACUGUACCAUGCUUUGCAGAACUAGAUGAAAACCAAAAACUGUUAGGAGCAAGAAUGCCUCAAAUAAAUGCCUUUGUUUUGGGGUGGAGAAUAGAUGACUUGUGUACUGGUUUUGGCUGGCAUAGAGUUAAUUUCUUUCCAGUAGCUGAUGGAGGGUUCUGUUUUGAAUCUGUGCUGGACACAGAUAAUUUAAAUGUUUUUCGUUUUGCUGAGCUGGACUUCCACAGAGCCAAGGCCUUUCCUGCUCCUGCGGGCAUGCUGGUGAGGAGGCCGAGGGUGCAUGGGAGGCUGGGAGGGGACACAACCAGGACCCAAAGUGACCCAAGGGAUAUUCCAGGCCAUGUGACAUCAUUCUCAGAACAAAAAGUAGGGGAAGAAGGAGGAAAGGGACAUUGGGAGUGAUGGUACUUGUCUUCUCAAGUCACCAUGAGGUGAGGGGGCCCUGCUCUCCUGGAGGUUACCACCCCUGCCCAACUGUGGGAAGCAGGGCAUUAAUUCCUCGUUUGCUCUACUUGUAUGCGUAGCUUUUGCUUUCCCUGUUGAACUGUCUUUACCUCAACCCAUAAAUUGUUACCCUUUAAUUCUCUCCCUAGUCCCACUGAUGGAGGAAGAAGUGAGUGGCUGCUUGGGGCUGGGCUGCUGGGGUUGAACUGUGAUGACUUGGAAAUUUGAUGUGUCCAAAACAAUUUCUUGACAAGACUGAAAUGGAUUCUCUUUUGUACUUAAUAGGAGACCAUUGUAUUUCUUGGACUACGCUUGAGUAUGCCAAAUUUCUCUGCAGGAGGCUUGCUAAUUGGAUUUACUUAGCUCUUACACAAUCGAGUGCCACAUCAGCUUCAUUGUGGAGUGUAUCAGGCUUAUGUAUUUCAGAUACUCAUGUGAAAACUACCCAUGUUCAGAGCCUGGAUCUACUUUCCUGUGUAGUGUUUCUUUCAGGACAAUGGAUAUGCUAAGGAAUAUUGCAUUCAAUGCACAGCAAGGAAUAAUUACUUCUGUAGAUCAUUCAGAGUGGAGCCGUGGUUCUGGAAAGAGUUGUGUGCAUCACUGCAGAAAUGAAGGUGCAUUCUUGAGGUGUGAAGUAGACUACAUGCAUUUCUUUCCCUAAACUGAAGGGAAUGGUUGCUCCUACACUUCUUGCAGGAAUGCAGGAAGUCAUGCCUCUUGCAACUUUCUGUUAACCAGAACUGGAGAGACUGGAAAAGGAAGUUUGGGCUUUUUUUGAGGAUGUUUGGUUUUGGGGGGGUUGUUAUCAUAACGGUUUUGUUAUUACACUGGCAGACCAUGUUGACUACUCCUUGACAGGAAGGCUUUAUUUUAGCUACAAAGUUUCUGGGAGUGCAGAUCAUAAGCAUUGUGGGUCUUCCACACUACAGAGCUACUGAACAGAGUCCUUUUCUCAUUUGUUUCUAAUUUUCAUGGUCAGCUUGCCCAUUUUCAUACCAGCCUGUGCUUAUGGAGGGAUGUAUGAAUCAAGAUGUAAAGAUGUGGGGUAGUUUUCUUUAAUUUGCAAAGUGCUCUCAUUCUUUAGUUAAUGUUUUUGCUAGGGGGGAAAAGCAGAUAUUAUUUAUAUUUCUGAUAGGAUACGGGUCUUUCAUACCUGUAGAUGUCAGCAAAAUUUUGCUGCCUUAUCAUUAUGUUAAAAGUGAUUCAGAGGGAUGUGGCCUUCAUGUAGUAAACUUAGAGAUUUGUCAAGAAAACUGUAUACAUGUAAGACAUAUAAGUAGUGCUAAUUUUCGUAAACAAAUCUCCUAUUUAUCCUUUGUCAGUAUACCACCUUGAAAGAAAAGUUUUACUCCUAAGCUGAAGUCAAUUGCCUGAGUAAGUUUCCUGAUUAAGUCUUACUAACCUCGUUAAUACAUCAUACUACAUGUAAAAGUUGGGAGGAUGAGUGGAUGAUUAUCCCUUUAAAAGAAUUAAAAUAAAAAUGGCUUUUAAAAUCAUUAUAUAUCAUUA